AUCCAUCUGAAGAGUCCGAAAUAGGACAAAACAUGAGUCUUGGAU
rfam:Schistosoma rodhaini strain Burundi genome assembly, scaffold: SROB_scaffold0001230